AACCAUUCUCACCUGCGGCUAGACCUGCGGAAGGAUCAUUACCGAGUGUGAACCCCCCCGUAAAAAAGAGGGGUUACCUCCCGUCCUUUGCUGGGAACCCCUUUCCAACUUGGAAGGAGGUUGUUUUCAGACCCUUCUGCUUCGGUGGGGUAACCCACCGGAACAACCUCAAAAAUAUUCUCAAUUCAAAACCGUUCAGUCCGAGAACUUUUUUGAAAAGCGAAAAAACUUUUAACAAUG
rnacentral:misc_RNA from 1 species